rnacentral:lncRNA from 1 species
AUGAGUUUUUUGUACUCUGCGCUGGGUCUUUACAUGCCAUGUUCUACUGCAAGGGUAAAAGUGAUGGAGCAGAGUGAGUAUCCAUCUCACAGAAGAAUCGACAAGCAGGAGUGUCAUUGUGAUACAAACAAACGGGAAGCCGUGACACGAGAAGAAAACUUCCUGCCUCCUCUCCUGGCUGUGUUUGAAGAAGGAACCCCAACGUGGCAAAAUGAAGCAAAUUUCUCCCACUGGAAGUGUAGAAGUCUCACCCCUGUGCUGUUUGGAGCUGGGACCAGCUGUACAACCUGA